AGUGCUGUAACAAACAAAGAGAAACCAAGCGAAGAUAAGGGGCAACAAAAUUGUUAUAAAAAGAUUGAAGAAACAAGCAGAGCAAGUGAUCAAAUUUACUAAAGAACCAAGGAAAGAAUGGACAUAUUUUUUCUCUUCUUUGCUUUUCUUAUAGGAGGGUUGGAGGCUGAAAAGAGGUCAGUCACAGGAGUGUCUGGGCAGAACAUCACAAUAACAUGCUCUUCCGAAAACAAAGAUGACAAUAUUAAAUAUUUCUGCAAAGAACCAUGUAGGGAUGCCGAUGUCUUAAUAAGUAGCCGUGUUGAUAAAGUCAAGUGGGACACCAACAAAUACAGUAUAAGGAAUGAUAAAAGCAGAUUUCAUGUUACAAUCUUUCACCUGAAAAAGGAAGAUGCAGGUACCUACUGGUGUGGCGUCAAAGUCUGGUGGCGGGAUCCACUACAAAACGUUGUCAUUACUGUUAAAGAAGCAAUAACACCAGAAAGAGAGCCAACAAAAUUACCUGAACAAGUUCAUCCAAAAACUUCAUCAUCAUCAAUAGUACAAGAAAAAGAGACAACAAAAUUACCUGAACAAGUUCAUCCAAAAACUUCAACAUCACUGAAGCUGUUGUACAUCGGAGCGAGCCUCGCAGUGACUGUACUCGUUUUGGCAGUAGUCAUCCUCAUAUAUUUCCGACACAAAAAAGGCCACAUUUGCACAUCUUCUGACCAACGCCAGGAUUCCAGCAACUCCAUCACUGCGUCCUCACUGAUUAAUCCAGACUGUCCUCACUAUUCCACCGUCAGCUACAACAGCCGCAGAGACAACAGCCAUGUCCCUCCUCAACCUGCAGACGUGACCUACUCCCUUAUUAAGCUCAGUGCCGCAGCUGAAUCGGCCAUCUACUGCAACUUAUGAAAAGUGGGGAUGCAGUCUCGCUGAAGCCACGACUGCAUUCCACAAUGACUCAUCAGAUAACACAGAAUGGCCGUUACAUGAUAAAAUACAGGAACUUUAGUUACAAGGUCUCACCUGUUUUUUUGGGGAGUUUUUUUUGUCUCUUCUCUUUUCUUCUGUUCCACUUUCUGAUGCACAACACAGGAGUCACAUCCUUGUCUCAAAAUAUCAUGCAAAUGUUCUCACAUUCAAAAUACCGAGGAUACUGUCAAGCACACACAUACACCCGGAGAUAGAGAGAAUACAUACACAUAAAGAAGCCACUAAUUCAUAAUGGAUCACAUCUGCAAAAUGCUAAACGGAAUAGAAAAAACAUUGAGAGUGACCAUCUACACCAUCACUGCCAUGCUUGCAAUAUUUACUGUAACAGACAGCAAAAAUGUCUCGCAGGCGAUCAGCAAUGACUCUGAACACACACACAAGACUAGAAAAUCAAGACACCCAACUAUGAAUGUGACAGUCACACCUGUGUGGAGACCAAAGUCAUCUAUGGCAUCUUCAAUGACAACACAAUCAAUGCACAGUUUUUACAAAGAUAUCAUUGUGGCUGUGCCGGUGUGUUUGAUAUUGUUGGCGGUAGCUGUGCUCACAAUUGUCUUGCUUCGACACAAAGUCACUAAGAAACAAGGAGGAUCAUCAGUGCAGGGGCCAACUGCUGUAU